rnacentral:rRNA from 1 species
AUUGAACGCUGGCGGCAGGCCUAACACAUGCGAGUCGAGCGAAUGAAGGGAGCUUGCUCCUGGAUUCAGCGGCGGACGGGUGAGUAAUGCCUAGGAAUCUGCCUGGUAGUGGGGGAUAACGUCCGGAAACGGGCGCUAAUACCGCAUACGUCCUGAGGGAGAAAGUGGGGGAUUUUCGGACCUCACGCUAUCAGAUGAGCCUAGGUCGGAUUAGCUAGUUGGUGGGGUAAAGGCCUACCAAGGCGACGAUUCGUAACUGCUCUGAGAGGAAGAUCAGUCAAGCUAGAACUGAGACACGGUCCAGACUCCUACGGGAUGCAGCAGUGGGGAAUAUUGGGCAAUGGGCGGAAGCCUGAUCCAGCCAUGCCGCGUGUGUGAAGAAGGUCUUCGGAUUGUAAAGCACUUUAAGUUGGGAGGAAGGGCAGUAAGUUAAUACCUUGCUGUUUUGACGUUACCAACAGAAUAAGCACCGGCUAACUUCGUG